UAGUCUAAAACGUUCAGGGGACAGUCGUUUUGUAUAAAUUCGUAAAAAGUCACUUUUCAGCUGAGAUCGAAUAAAUAUUAAAUAUUGCUUGUGGAUAUUAAAACAGCAACGCAGCUGAUAAACUGACCCGAGACAACAAAGACUGAUGGGACUCGCCAAUUCGAACUUCCACGCAGAGGCACAGACGCUUUUCAUUUUUGUAUCGCUUCAAGGAAGCAGAGGCUGGAAUAUAUUUUUAUCUACACGUUAGAAAUCAAUCGAGAAACUUCAUUGUAGAAAGUACCGCAUAAACCGUUAUUUUAUUACACGUUUUUUACGACUAGGGCUUCCAACGCAUUGUACACAAGGCUAUACAAGCAAUAAAGGUUCCAUGAUGAUUAUUUAAUAAUAAAACCCCUAAUUUACUUGAGACGUCGAGGGUAUCGCUUCGAGAUUGUGCACGGUCUUCGACGUAAACGACUUUGUUUGUCAAUUAAUCUGCAAACGAUUCGAUGAUUGAUGCUUGAGUGACUUGAAACACUAGUAGUCGUUACAAGCAUUAUUGUUUAGAAUAGUAUUCUUAUUGUUCUAAAUUAUAUAUUUCCAGAGGAUCUUCACCAGGAAGAAACACAUACUACUCUAAAUAAUAAUGGCUACUUGUGUUUGUAAUUUAAGUCAUAGAUUCGCAACGAAGAGUAUACAACGGUAACGCUCGUACUGCUAGCGCUGUAUCGUUUCUUAAUCGUUUCUUUAGCCUGAAGCGCUAACCACCGUGAAACGCUUCUCCUUUUCCAGUUUUGCUGAAGAAGUGGACCUGUUUUCAAUGCGGGAAACGGUACCUCUGGCGGGGUUCCCUGCAGAAUCACAUCCGCGUGGAAUGCGGCAAAGAGCCUGCUUUCAAGUGUUCUAUUUGCGGCAGGAAGUUCAAGCACAAACAUCGCUGGAUGUCGCACGCCAAAUGCGUGCACGGUAUUAACUUCUAACGACGUGUACGUCGCGACGUCGACAACAUCCUCGGCUAGGUUUAAUCAUCUACUUUCCACGCGAAAGAACCUGCAUUGCGUUAGAAAAAGCUGUGUCGGUGCUUGCUUGUACGACGUUCAAUCCCUUCGCCACACCUCUGCCAAAUUUUGUUCGCUAUUCGCAACAUUUCCUUGUUUCAUUUGUUUUUACGCGUUACCAUUUUAGUCCCUAAGAAUGGUUUCGUUUAAUUAUCCAGCAACUACAUAGCUCGAUAGCGAAUGAAAUCAACCGAUCAAUUUUUCAAAACUCAACGAAUCGCGAAGACACACGUCGCAUUCUUUCCUUGUUGUAUGUAAACGUGUGCCACGUGAAAUCUCAGAAUAUAGUUUGAAGUAAAAAGAGAACACUUCGUAUCCCUUUCUUCCUUGUGCGAUUGCGAAACCGUCCAGUGUGUGCAUGCAUCGUACAUAACCAACUCCGCGUUUCCAAUUAUGUUUUGUCGAAUAUCAAGACACGUCCACGCCUCGAAGCCACAGUUUCGCGCGUAAAUUCGCGAAAUAUCCCCAUUAACGACUGGAUUUCUCUUUGCAGACAACGCGAGGAAACUGUGGUGGUGUUUCCAGUGCGGCAAGCAAUACAUGUGGAGGGACUCGCUGAAGAAGCACCUUCGAGUCGAGUGCGGCAAGGAUCCCACUUUCCAGUGUCCGAUAACAUACCAGACUUCAAGUUUGUCGUCGUAAAGGUGGCCUGUCCGAGCUGCGAAAAGUUUUUCAAAAAUCAUUAUCAGCUUCGAUUGCACCAACAGCAAGCACACUCGCAAAAGCGCUUAAUGGAUUGUUACUUUUGCGAGGAGAGCUUCACAAUGAAAAAAUCCUUGUUGGCACAUAUGGCAUCUGCGCAUCCAUAUCCUAAAUUGGGAACUAAACCAUUGAAUCCCUUGAAACCCUGGUGGUGCUUCCAAUGCGGUAGGCAAUACGUGUGGAGGGGCUCGUUGAAGAAUCACCUUCGAAUAGAGUGCGGCAAGGAACCCACUUUUUCGUGUCCGGUUUGUGGGAGGAGGUUCUUGUACCAAUAUCGCUGUAAAUCGCACGCUAGAUUGAUUCACGGUAUCAACAUAUGACUGACCGAGGUGUCCACAUAAUUUAACUAAUCGCCAUGAUUCGUUGACGAACUGUCAACGCCUGUAGGUGACUUGCCUUCAUCCAAAAAUUUAGUUCCCACGUGUCGUUUGAACGCUACACUGAUCCAUUGUGUAAAUGUCAAAAAUGUUUCAAAAGUUCAUGGCUUCGAGCAAAAACAAAUUAUUUUUAAGCAUUCCGUUAUAUUUUGUUUUUUUUUUUGCAUAUCCAUACUUUCACAUCGCCUGUUCCAAAAACGAGAAUAAUUAUGUUGCAAUUGGUACUUGUUUAAAGAAAAUAAAUAAACGUUGUAUUGAUUCUGA